rnacentral:rRNA from 1 species
AGUGAACGCUGGCGGCAGGCCUAAUACAUGCAAGUCGAACGGCAGCACAGCAGAGCUUGCUCUGUGGGUGGCGAGUGGCGGACGGGUGAGGAAUACAUGGGAAUCUGCCCAGUCGUGGGGGAUAACGUAGGGAAACUUCCGCUAAUACCGCAUGCGCCCUGCGGGGGAAAGCCGGGGACCUUCGGGCCUGGCGCCAGUGGAUGAGCCCCUGUCGGAUUAGCUAGUGGGGGGGGUAAAGGCCCGGCAAGGGGACGAACCGUAGCUGGUCUGAGAGGAUGGUCAGCGACACUGGAACUGAGACACGGUCCAGACUCCUACGGGAGGCAGCAGUAGGGAAUAUUGGACAAUGGGCGCAAGCCUGAUCCAGCCAUGCCGCGUGAGUGAAGAAGGCCCUCGGGUUGUAAAGCUCUUUUGUCCGGAAAGAAAAGCGCCGGGUUAAUACCCUGGUGUCCUGACGGUACCGGAAGAAUAAGCACCGGCUAACUUCGUGCCAGCAGCCGCCGUAACAC